rnacentral:rRNA from 1 species
UACGAAGGGGGCUAGCGUUGUUCGGAAUUACUGGGCGUAAAGCGCGCGCAGGCGGUCUUCCAAGUCAGUGGUGAAAGCCUGGAGCUCAACUCCAGAACUGCCAUUGAAACUGUUAGACUUGAGUACGAGAGAGGUGAGUGGAAUUCCCAGUGUAGGGGUGAAAUUCGUAGAUAUUGGGAAGAACACCAGUGGCGAAGGCGGCUCACUGGCUCGUAACUGACGCUCAGGCGCGACAGCGUGGGGAUCAAGCAGG